CCUACGGGAGGCAGCAGUGGGGAAUAUUGCACAAUGGGGGAAACCCUGAUGCAGCGACGCCGCGUGAGCGAUGAAGGAUUUCGGUAUGUAAAGCUCUAGCAGCAGGGAAGAAAAUGACGGUAACUGACUCAGAAGCCCCGGCUAACUACGUGCCAGCAGCCGCGGGACUACGUAGGGGGCAAGCGUUAUCCGGAUUUACUGGGGGUAAAGGGAGCGUAGACGGCUUGGCAAGCCAGAUGUGAAAGGCGGGGGCUCAACCCCAGGACUGCAUUUGGAACUGUCAUGCUAGAGUGUCGGAGAGGCAGGCGGAAUUCCUGGUGUAGCGGUGAAAUGCGUAGAUAUUAGGAGGAACACCAGUGGCGAAGGCGGGCUGCUGGACGAUGACUGACGUUGAGGCUCGAAAGCGUGGGGAGCAAACAGGAUUAGAUACCCCGGUAGUC
rnacentral:rRNA from 1 species